AAAUCUGAUCAUCGUCCUCCGCGAAGCUCCUAUAUCCUCUCACCGGAAACUAUCAUGGAGAAGGAGCGAGAAGCGACCUUCUCCGCCUCGCCGUCCUUCGUCUUCUCUCUCUUUCCUCCUCCAUUCUAGGGCUCGGCUUAUUGCCCUAGCUUCAGUUCAAAGAAGCCCGACCAGAGUUCCAGGAGCACCGAAGCCCUGGAGACAACCCUAACCUUAUCGAGUGGCAGCCUCAGGAAGCGAAGUUGUUGUAGCGGUGGAAGUCAAAAGAUGGAGGACGUGGUGAUAUCCGAAGCUACUCCAUCUACAUCAUCAUCCUUAUCCGAUGCCAGGAUAGUUUGCCGAGUAUGCCAGAAGCAGUUUGCACAGUAUACUUGCCCUCGAUGCAACUCACGUUAUUGCUCUCUUCCGUGCUACAAGAGGCAUAGCCUUCAGUGCACAGAAUCUUUCAUGCGUGAAAAUGUCAUGGAGGAGCUGCAGCAAAUACAGCCAGAAGAUGAGACUAAGACGAAAAUGCUAGAUAUUCUUAAACGGUUCCACUCAGAAGAAGAGAUGAAUUCUGAUGAUGAAGAUGAAUCCAUGCUAUCUGAGGAGACUAUUCAGAAAGUUGUGUCUGGCAAUGAAAUCAGACUAGAAGAUCUUUCUGCUGAUGAAAUCAAGCACUUUCGAAAAGCCCUAGCAUCUGGGGAGCUCAGCAGACUGAUUGAGCCAUGGACCCCAUGGUGGACAAAGCCUUCUGCAAGAUCCAUUUCUCUUAGCCCAGAGGGAAGCCAGCUUGUCAAGCCACUUCAUGAGCAUGAAGGAACUAUUGCACAACUCUCUACUACUCCAGAGCCUAAUCUUAGAGAGGUUCCAGCUGGGCCAGAAAAUCCUUUGCCACCGCUCAGGCAGCUGACGCACACGGACCCAUCUCCUCUUCUAGCUGUUCACUUGGUUGAUGUUCUAUAUAGCUAUUGCUUUACCCUGCGCCUUUACAAUGGGGAUUGGCACUCCGACCCUUUUGGUGCUGCCACUACAAUCUUGAGCGUGUCAAAGGUCUUGGGUGAUGAUGCGCGGCCCGAGACUGUGGCGGAGGCACUCGGGGCUUGUUUGGAGCAGACAUGCUCAGCGGUUUACAGGCAUACUGGAGGCUUUAGGUUUCGCAUUGGACUUCUUGAUGAUAUCAUCAGCCUGCUGCAUCUAGGAUGCAGUGCGCUCAUCUGUUCUCUCUGUGAUCUCCAGAGGCUUAUUCAAGCAGGUGAAAGAAUGCUUAAAUCUGAGAAAAUGGGGAAGGCAGAGAGAAGCAAGAGCAGCCGGAAGCUCCACUCUGCUGAGAGGAAGGUGUAUUUUUUGAUGUGUUGGGUUCAUGAUCAGCCAGGAGAGGCCUGGUCAUCAUUGGCAGGAAUUGUGGAAGUGGAGAAAGCUUCUCUCUCAGAGUCAGGUUACAGAGGUAAACCUGUCAAAGGUGAAAGGAAGGCAAUGCCUCAUAUCGAGGAGGUUUAGCGUGCCCUUGAAGUGUUGUAGUUCUCAAGAGAUUGAUGUUCCAUUAGUGGACCCACUUUUGUUCUGUCUGGAUGCUAACCUCAGCAACAGAAUGAUAUAUUACCGUAACUUUAAAUAUUAAGUCAUACGACGGCAGCAGGUGGAUCCAAGGUCAAGAAAAGUUGCAUACUUCCACCUAGUCUUUCUGUUGGCAUAAAUAGGACACAGGAAUUGCUCUAAAAUUCGCAACAAAUUAUGUCAGUUCUUAUGAGUAGCAUGCAAAAUUAUCAAUGGGUGCUUUUGGUACUGAGGGUUGGGAGCAGCUCGGCUGUUGCAGUGAGCAGUGCAUGCAGAGUCGACGGCAAUUUGGUGCCACAGCUGGAGUCCAUGUGCCCCAUUAGCUUAAAUUUCUGCAUAAGUAGGUUGUAGAUGUUUGAGAUUUGUUCAAUUUAUUUGCUGUAAGGUUGUAGAUAUGAGUUCUGAUCUUUCCCUUAGUGAAGCCUUGAUGGCAGAGUUGGAUGGAGAAAUUUCUGUGGAACAAGAUCCAAUGGUAGUUCAAGCAAUUGUUGUCCCUAAGGGGGGACGGAGAUUCCCAUUGAACCAGUGAUUGUUGGGUUUCAAUUUGGAACUUGAGGGCCAGCGUCCAGCUUGUAUAUUAGAUAUUGUUUUUAAAGAGAAGUGCUCUUUAGUUGCAUAUCUGAAGCAAUUAUUAUGCGGC